rnacentral:rRNA from 1 species
GAUAAACGCUGGCGGCGCACAUAAGACAUGCAAGUCGAACGGACUUAACCAUUAGUUUACUAUUGGAGCGGUUAGUGGCGGGCUGGUGAGUAACACGUAAGCAACCUACCUAUCAGAGGGGAAUAACCCGGCGAAAGUCGGACUAAUACCGCAUAAAACAGGGGUUCCACAUGGAAAUAUUUGUUAAAGAUUUAUCGCUGAUAGAUGGGCAUGCGUUCCAUUAGAUAGUUGGUGAGGUAACGGCUCACCAAGUCUACGAUGGAUAGGGGUUCUGAGAGGAAGGUCCCCCACACUGGUACUGAGACACGGACCAG